rnacentral:rRNA from 1 species
GUUUGAUGUUCUAACGUUGGCCCCUGACCGGGGUUGCGGACAGUGUCUGGUGGGUAGUUUGACUGGGGCGGUCUCCUCCCAAAGCGUAACGGAGGAGCACGAAGGUUAGCUAAUCCUGGUCGGACAUCAGGAGGUUAGUGCAAUGGCAUAAGCUAGCUUGACUGCGAGCGUGACGGCGCGAGCAGGUGCGAAAGCAGGUCAUAGUGAUCCGGUGGUUCUGAAUGGAAGGGCCAUCGCUCAACGGAUAAAAGGUACUCCGGGGAUAACAGGCUGAUACCGCCCAAGAGUUCAUAUCGACGGCGGUGUUUGGCACCUCGAUGUCGGCUCAUCACAUCCUGGGGCUGAAGUAGGUCCCAAGGGUAUGGCUGUUCGCCAUUUAAAGUGGUACGCGAGCUGGGUUUAGAACGUCGUGAGACAGUUCGGUCCCUAUCUGCCGUGGGCGCUGGAGAAUUGAGGGGGGCUGCUCCUAGUACGAGAGGACCGGAGUGGACGCAUCACUGGUGUUCGGGUUGUCAUGCCAAUGGCACUGCCCGGUAGCUAAAUGCGGAAGAGAUAAGUGCUGAAAGCAUCUAAGCACGAAACUUGCCCCGAGAUGAGUUCUCCCUGAGACUUUAAGUCUCCUGAAGGAACGUU